ensembl:lncRNA
GUUUGGUUUACUUUUCGCAUCGGCCUGUGUCAAUCGAGGUUGAGUUUAGUGAGGGUUGAAAGUUUUCAAUCUAGAUUGCAGAUCACUAUUGUCACUUUAUACAAACUGAAAGUAUGCGUUGUUGCGUGUUUGUUUUUGUGGGCAUUUGACUGAACAGCCCAGACAAAUAUUGCUACCAACAUGGCACUUCGAAACAGACCACCGCAGUGAGUAAAAGUUAUUUUCCUUUAUUAAAUGUUGACGUUUUUGGGCUGUCUCCUCAGACACAAGCCAUCAGUAUCCCUGCUCUUUAAACCUUGACAUGCAUCUCACCGCUGUUUGUUAACCUAGCUUUGGGGAUUUGUAUCUUGUGAUGUGUGUGUGUUUUUCUUAACAGGUGUUAGAUGACUGACAAGAUCUAUGGGGGGGCCCCCUUUGGGCCCCCCCAUACCAACUUAGUCUUCAAAGGAAUCUAGUGCCAUGGGACUCUAGUGUCUUCAAAACAUCCUGCUGCGUGGGCCGUAGUGGCUUCCAGAGCCAUCUUUCGGUCUUGGUCAGGAUUUGUUACAGUUACCCUUCAAUGUAGGUUUCUGAAGAAGCCUGCUUUACGUAGCAUUGGAGUACAAAUAUUGUGCAAAAUGCUCAUGUAAUUGCACUAGCACUGGUAACCUGUAGAUUAGCUUAGUUUAACGUCAUUCGGUGCUGGCUGUCAAAUGUGUGGCUUACUUUAAGUCCACAAGGCCCUCUGGUAAACCACGUUGGAACACCCCUGGACAAGGGGGACUUGACUGGUGAGUCUACUGGAUUAAUCAGUAGCGGUACUUUGCCCAACAGAUUUGAUGGCAUGACUACAGGGUGACAAAGACGAUUAUUCCCUGCCUAUCAAAAGAGACUUCUAAAACAUAUCUGCUAGAACAGUUCAUAUACUUUUUGUAUAAUUUGGUCAUGCUGAAAAUUUACUUUUUGUAGUUGCUCCAUAUUUAGUUCUUUGACAGCCUCACCUGCUAGAAAAGUAUAUUCAAAUCGGCUAAAUAUAAUGAACUAAAUUAAUAGCCAUGAAAUGUUGUCACUCAUAUGUUGUCACUCAGUUGGUGGUUCAACACUGAUGUCUCUCUAGGCUUGAGGGAGAGCUCACAAGUAAAUUACACGAAUGUCCUGGAGCAAUUGGGAAUACACUUUUAUUUAGUCUACCUGACCAGGGACAUCUUUGAACUAUAGGUCACCUAACCCAAACUUUUCACUCUUGUUAGGUUGUCCUUUUCUCUUGUUUUAACCCGAAAGGGCUGAAAAUAUCAACAUUUCAGGUAUUCUGUUUGGAUAAUGUGCAAAACUUGUGGCUUCACUAAUAAAAAAAAUUAACGAAUGUAUUUUUCUUAAUGUGGUUAAACUAUUUAAAGAUUUGUAUGCAAAAUAUUUCUGCUGAAUUUGUGGUCAAUGAAACUCAAAUUUUUUAAUUUGAUAAAACACAACUAUGGGUUAAAGGCAGUGCUUAAUUUGUCAAGUGGGAGCUCCCGGAGCGCUGAGGACGAGUAGAAAAAAAGCGGCGGGGGGGGUUGUUUCAACAUCGCAAGAAAUUAGCCUACUAAAGCCUCGUGAAUGGGGAUGCACGCAGAAAAAAUAGUAAACAUAUGUUAGGUUGGAGAGACACACAGCCACACGUUAUAAAGUUUACCGUUGUUUACUAACAGUUGAGGAAUAUGUCAUGCACUCGCAGGUGCGUCAUUGAGUCAUUGUAUUCUCAACACAACAAAAUACACCCAAGUCCUUAAAUGGAUCUCCGUCGCAUCAAAAGAUGAAAACAAAU